rnacentral:lncRNA from 1 species
CAAAUCACGCACAAAUCGGAUCAAUCCGACGGCGGCGACGCGAGGAACAAUUCUUCCCUAAGCGGGCCUCGGGUUCGGGGCCCGGAAACGGCCCAAAACGGCCUUGAACAGUGCUGGAAACCCAUUUUUCCAGCCACUGUUCUUGGCUGGAUGAAGCUUGUCCGGCGGCUAAGGCGGCGAGGGGAGGCCGGCGGAGGGUGAGGGGAGCUCCGGCGGGUCCGAACGGUGGCCGGACGGAGCUGGGUGGCGGCCGGAGGUGGCCGGAUCGUGGCCGGUGCUAGCCAAGAUGGAGCUGAACAGAGGCGGAACAAAGGCUGGACAGCAGCUCGGUCGGCAACUGCAGACAGCGCACGGCGGGCAAGCGAGAGGCGAACAGCGGCGAGGCGGCGUGCGGCGCGAUUGCAGCUCCUUCAAGCAACGCCGAUCGUUGCUUCUGCUCCUGCUGGUCGGUUCUGUUCGAACCAGAGGAAGGAGAGAGGGGCGAGGCUAUGCACGGGCAGUAGGACGGCAGACGGCGGCGACUUCGGCUCCGGUUGCUUGCUGCAUCGGCGCCGAGAGAAAUCGCUGCUUCGGCUUGC